rnacentral:rRNA from 1 species
UACGUAGGCAGCAAGCGUUGUUCGGAGUUACUGGGCGUAAAGGGUGUGUAGGCGGUUCUUUAAGUUUGGGGUGAAAUCUCCCGGCUUAACCGGGAGGGUGCGCCGAAUACUGAGGGACUAGAGUACGGGAGAGGAAAGUGGAAUUCCUGGUGUAGCGGUGAAAUGCGUAGAUAUCAGGAGGAACACCGGUGGUGUAGACGGCUUUCUGGACCGUAACUGACGCUGAGGCGCGAAAGCUAGGGGAGCAAACAGG